rnacentral:lncRNA from 1 species
GAUAAUCUCUACUGACGUCUUUGAAUCUUACAGGGUAAUGCUCAUGCCUAUUUUUUUUUUUUUAUUUUUUUUUAGUAAGUGUAUGCUUAAACUAACUUGAUAUUUUCAGACAGCCUCAAACUCUCAAGGUUCUUAGAUAUUCAGCUGCAAGGAGGAAGAAAGACGGGUGAACUGUGAGAUCUCUUGAUUUGUUUGCAGCAGCUCCUGGAUAGGGACAUGGAGAAAUGCAAGAAUCGUAAGCAAAGGAUGCUGAAAAGAAAUUUUCUGAAAUUCCCUAUAUCAUUUGUUUGGAAAUGUCUCAAGUUUGUUGAAUUUAGUGAAAGAAAAACAAUCUACAUUAUUUAAGUUUGCUUAGUUUAAUUAUCC